AUGGCCAGCCACCUUGUGCUCAACAAUGGCGCCAAGAUGCGCAUCCUGGGGCUGGGCACCUGGAAGUCCCCUCCAGGCCAGGUGACUGAGGCCGUGAAGGUGGCCAUCAGCGUCGGGUACCACCACAUUGACUGUGCCCACGUGUACCAGAAUGAGAAUGAGGUGGGGGUGGCCAUUCAGGAGAAGCUCAGGGAGCAGGUGAAGCGCGAGGAGCGCUUCAUCAUUAGUAAGCUGUGGUGCACGUACCAUGGGAAGGGUCUGGCGAAAGGAGCCUGCUAGAAGACCCUCAGCGGCCUGAAGCUGGACUACCUGUACCUCUACCUUAUUCACUGGCUGACUGACUUUAAGCCUGGGAAGGAAUUUUUCCCAUUGGAUGAGUCGGGCAUUGUGGUUCCCGGUGACACCAACAUUCUGGACACAUGGGCGGCCAUGGAAGAGCUGGUAGAUGAAGGGCUGGUGAAAGCUAUUGGCAUCUCCAACUUCAACCAUCUCCAGGUGGAGAGGCUCUUAAACAAACCUGGCUUAAAGUAUAAGCCUGUAGUUAACCAGACUGAGUGCCACCUGUACCUCACUCAGAAGAAGUUAAUCCAGUACUGCCAGUCCAAAGGCAUCGUGGUGACCGCCUACAGCCCCCUCGGCACUCCCGACAGGCCCUGGGCCAACCCUGAGGAGGCUUCCCUCCUGGGGGAUCCCAGGAUCAAGGCGAUUGCAGCCAACCACAAUAAAAAAAAAAACAAAAAAAACAGCCCAGGUCCUGAUCCGGUUCCCCAUGCAGAGGAAUUUGGUGGUGAUCCCCAAGUCUGUGACACCAGAACUCAUUGCUGACAACUUUAAGGUCUUUGACUUUGAACUGAGCAGCCAGGAUAUGACCGCCUUACUCAGCUACAACAGGAACUGGAGGGUCUGUGCCUUGGUGAGGUGUGCCUCCUACAAGGAUUACCCCUUCCAUGGAGAGUUUUGAAGCUGUGGAUGCCUGCUCGUCCCUAAGUGACCUAUACCUGUGUUUCCUGCCUCAUUUUUUUUCCUUGCAAAUGUAGUAUGGCCUGUGUCACUCAGCAGUGGGAUAGCAACCUGUAGAGUGGCCAGCGAGGGCGUGUCUAGCUUGAUGUUGGAUCUGAAGAGCCCUGUCAGAGUAGGAGUCUCUUCCAGUUUGUUUUGUCCUCCUUUUUGCCCCUCUGGGGAAAGUACAACCUGAAUACCCUUUUCUGACCAAAGAGAAGCAAAAUCUACCAGGUCAAAAUAGUGCCACUAACAGUUGAGUUUUGGCUGCUUGGAACUGUAAUCCUUUCAGCAAGACUUCUCUUUGCCUCAGAUAAAAAGUAUUUUUGUGGAAAAAAAA